UAUGAUUAUUAAAUAUUAAUUUAAAAAGGAAAAUAUAGAUAAACCCAAAAAAUUUAAAUACUUAUCAUGUAAAAUAUUUAAUAAUUGUAUUGUGUAAUAAAAAAUUACAGUAAUUUCAUAAAAAAAGAACUGGCAAAUAACAAAACCUUUUUUUAAUCACAAACGAAUAAAAUAAAACUGUCAAAAAAUAUCGUCAUUCACGCACAAUGUAAAAUUAUUUAUUGUUUAUUUUAUUUAUCAUACCUUUCGAAGAAGUGAAAAUUUUCCGCAACAGUAUGCUUCAGACCAUGUAGUGUGGUUUCCUUACAGAAAAUUGAAUAAACAUUGUACACUUUAGCUAUGGAGACCUUAAUCGAUUCCAUAAUCGAUUUCUUACGAGUGAGGCAGCUUAACAUCGCGGUAGGUCGCGGCACUAUUAACAAUGAUUUACAUGAUGUAUCAAUACCGUGCGGUGCUCUUCAAGAUCGAAAGCGAAGAUGGCGUCCGAAGUCGACGGUCCAGCAGAAUGUCUAGAUCGCGAACCAGAUCUCGAUCAAGAUCAAGAACGAGGCAAGGAAGCCACGACUACAAAGUGUCAGAUACGAAACACGGGCGUCGGGGUCGAAAACCAACACGGCGCUGCCCAGACUGUAGCCUCUGUAACUUUGAUGAUUAAUCUUGAUCCGUGCCUAGACAAACAACGAGCCCGAUAGAUAAUCUAAAUGAGUUAUCAUUUUAUCAGUUUCGAUAUUAAAAUUAUAAUGCGUGCUAUUUAUUAUUGUUAACAUUGUUUAAGUAAAAGAUUUUCGCUGUUAUUGUUUUUCUUUUUUACCCUGAUUGUUUUUACCAAACGGCUCAAAAAGGAGGUUCUUAAUUCGAUAUUUUUUUGUGUUACCUACCUCAUAGCUCUUAACAGUUUGUUACUGAAUUUAUUUUUUUAUUUAUUUAUUCUUUAUUGUACACCACAUAGAGUCAUUUAAUACAGAAUUGUAAAGAAAAAAAGAAGUACAAUGCACAAUGAGGCGGCCUUAUCGCUCGAUAGCGAUUUCUUCACGGCAACCUUAGGGUUAGGAUUAGAGGAAAAAAAAAUAAGUAGGUGGUGUAUAAUAAACGUACAUCAAACAUUGAAUGAAUUUAUCGAUUCUUUUUCAUUCUAAAGUUGGUGCUUGUCGUGUGCUCUAAUGAAAUACCAGCUGUGCCCGCG
rnacentral:misc_RNA from 1 species